CCUACGGGAGGCAGCAGUGAGGAAUAGUGGUCAAUGGGCGCGAGCCUGAACCAGCCAAGUAGCGUGAAGGAUGACUGCCCUACGGGUUGUAAACUUCUUUUAUAAAGGAAUAAAGUGAGGCACGUGUGCCGUUUUGUAUGUACUUUAUGAAUAAGGAGCGGCUAACUCCGUGCCAGCAGCCGCGGUAAUACGGAGGAUCCGAGCGUUAUCCGGAUUGAUUGGGGUGACAGGGAGCGUAGAUGGGUUGUUAAGGCAGUUGUGAAAGUUUGCGGCUCAACCGUAAAAUGGCAAUUGAUACUGUCAGCCUUGCGUACAGUUGAGUUAGGCGGACUUCGUGGUGUAGCGG
rnacentral:rRNA from 1 species